rnacentral:rRNA from 1 species
UACAGAGGUCCCAAGCGUUGUUCGGAUUCAUUGGGCGUAAAGGGUGCGUAGGCGGCGCGGUAAGUCGGAUGUGAAAUCUCGGAGCUUAACUCCGAAACUGCAUUCGAUACUGCCGUGCUUGAGGACUGGAGAGGAGACUGGAAUUUACGGUGUAGCGGUGAAAUGCGUAGAUAUCGUAAGGAAGACCAGUGGCGAAGGCGGGUCUCUGGACAGUUCCUGACGCUGAGGCACGAAGGUCAGGGGAGCAAACGGG